rnacentral:tRNA from 1 species
CUCUCGUUUGUUCACGAUUUGAAAGGAUAUUUAAUCCUUCUACAUA